ensembl:lncRNA novel transcript, antisense to CHMP6
GCGUGCAGGGCCAACUUUAAUACGGGCCGGCCUGUCUGGGGGUCGAGGUGGCCGCUCCCUUUGUCCUUGUGGCUUUCCACGGGCAGGGGCGGUCCCAGCGAGAUCGUCUCAUAACCAAACCAGCCCUGUGCACGAGAAGUCACGCCAUGCCCCACAGCCUCCAGUCCUGGCUGCUGGUGGCUCGGGGACCCGCAGGGCAGGAGGGUCCCGGGUCUCGCAGUUCCAUGAGCCCCAGCCGCGGGGACCCCCAUGGACAAACUUCCGGGGCUGCACCUGCCGGAGCAGCGUCUCCCAAGCAUCGGAGCAAGAGGAAGCGCGGGGACCCCAAGGUCUGGAGG